rnacentral:rRNA from 1 species
GACGAACGCUGGCGGCGUGCUUAACACAUGCAAGUCGAACGGAAAGGCCCUGCUUUUGUGGGGUGCUCGAGUGGCGAACGGGUGAGUAACACGUGAGUAACCUGCCCUUGACUUUGGGAUAACUUCAGGAAACUGGGGCUAAUACCGGAUAGGAGCUCCUGCUGCAUGGUGGUGGUUGGAAAGUUUCGGCGGUUGGGGAUGGACUCGCGGCUUAUCAGCUUGUUUGUGGGGUAGUGGCUUACCAAGGCUUUGACGGGUAGCCGGCCUGAGAGGGUGACCGGCGACAUUGGGACUGAGAUACGGCCCAGACUCCAACGGGAGGCAGCAGUGGGGAAUAUUGCACAAUGGGCGGAAGCCAGAGGCAGCAACGCCGCGUGCGGGAUGACGGCCUUCGGGUUGUAAACCGAUUUCGCAUGUGACGAAGAGUGAGUGGCGGUAAUGGGUAAAGAAGCAACGGCUAACUACGUG